UACGGAGGGUGCAAGCGUUAUCCGGAUUCACUGGGUUUAAAGGGUGCGUAGGCGGGCUAUUAAGUCAGUGGUGAAAUCUUGCAGCUUAACUGUAAAAUUGCCAUUGAUACUGAUGAUCUUGAGUACGUUUGAAGUGGGCGGAAUAUGUCAUGUAGAGGUGAAAUUCUUAGAGAUGACAUAGAACACCGAUUGCGAAGGCAGCUCACUAAACUGUAACUGACGCUGAGGCACGAAAGCGUGGGGAUCAAACAGG
rnacentral:rRNA from 1 species